UGGGGAAUAUUGCACAAUGGGCGAGAGCCUGAUGCAGCAACGCCGCGUGAGGGACGACGGCCUUCGGGUUGUAAACCUCUUUUAGCAAGGAAGAAGCGAAAGUGACGGUACUUGCAGAAAAAGCGCCGGCUAACUACGUGCCAGCAGCCGCGGUAAUACGUAGGGCGCAAGCGUUAUCCGGAAUUAUUGGGCGUAAAGAGCUCGUAGGCGGUUUGUCGCGUCUGCUGUGAAAACCCGAGGCUCAACCUCGGGCCUGCAGUGGGUACGGGCAGACUAGAGUGCGGUAGGGGAGAUUGGAACUCCUGGUGUAGCGGUGGAAUGCGCAGAUAUCAGGAAGAACACCGACGGCGAAGGCAGAUCUCUGGGCCGUAACUGACGCUGAGGAGCGAAAGGGUGGGGAGCAAACAGGCUUAGAUACCCUGGUAGUCCACCCCGUAAACGUUGGGAACUAGUUGUGGGGUCCAUUCCACGGAUUCCGUGACGCAGCUAACGCAUUAAGUUCCCCGCCUGGGGAGUACGGCCGCAAGGCUAAAACUCAAAUGAAUUGACGGGGUCAUAGCUGUUUCCU
rnacentral:rRNA from 1 species